GACGAACGCUGGCGGCGUGCUUAACACAUGCAAGUCGAACGAUGAAAGCUGGAGCUUGCUCUAGCUGGAUUAGUGGCGAACGGGUGAGUAACACGUGAGCAAUCUGCCCUGGACUCUGGGAUAACUCCGAGAAAUCGGUGCUAAUACCGGAUACGACACCUCCCGGCAUCGGGUGGGUGUGGAAAGAAUUUCGGUCCAGGAUGAGCUCGCGGCCUAUCAGCUUGUUGGUGAGGUAACGGCUCACCAAGGC
rnacentral:rRNA from 1 species